rnacentral:ncRNA from 1 species
AGCAGGACAGUGGCCAUGGAAGUCGGAACCCGCUAAGAAGUGUAUAACAACUCCCCUGCCGA